rnacentral:rRNA from 1 species
UACGUAGGUGGCAAGCGUUGUUCGGAAUUAUUGGGCGUAAAGGGCGCGUAGGCGGCUUGUUAAGUCAGUUGUGAAAGCCCGGGGCUCAACCCCGGAGGGUCGACUGAUACUGGUGAGCUGGAGUACAGAAGAGGUAGCUGGAAUUCCCGGUGUAGCGGUGAAAUGCGUAGAUAUCAGGAGGGACACCAGUGGCGAAGGCGCCGCUCUGGGCCGUGACUGACGCUGAGGAGCGAAAGCGUGGGUAGCAAACAGG